rnacentral:rRNA from 1 species
UACGGGGGGGGCAAGCGUUGUUCGGAAUUACUGGGCGUAAAGGGCCAGUAGGCGGCCAACUAAGUCGGAUGUGAAAUCCCCAGGCUCAACUUGGGAACUGCAUCCGAUACUGGAUGGCUUGAAUUCGGGAGAGGGAUGCAGAAUUCCAGGUGUAGCGGUGAAAUGCGUAGAUAUCUGGAGGAAUACCGGUGGCGAAGGCGGCAUCCUGGACCGACAUUGACGCUGAACGGCGAAAGCUAGGGGAGCAAACAGG